UGCCUCAAUACUGAAUUGACGGUGGUGAUGCUCCUUUGCGGUUGCGGCUGAAACAGGUGGCGGAUGUAGAGCAAUUGCAGAGGCGCAGAUGGUCAUCUCCGCCAUGGCAGUUACCGGAUUUCACCUUGUCGCAUUUUCCUCCUCUCCCAAUGCUUUAUUCCCCCCACAGUCUCCAAUUUCAUCGAAAGAUGAUCAUCAUCAGCAGAAACAAGAGCAGAAACAGCUUCAGAGCUCUCUGUUUGGAUUCAAAACCUAUCGCAGAGACGCAGCUUUGCUCUCGUUCCUUGCUCUCAUUCCUGGUCUACAUCGUUCAUCCCCUGCAACUGCAUUGACAUUUGGCAUCUCUGGACCGAAGGAUUGGCUGAAAGGGCAAAAGAGGAAGGCUUCCAAGUUUCUCUUGGCACCUGUUGACGCCUCUCGUGAAAGCCUGCGCACUGCCUAUCUCUUAUUCACGGCGAGUGGUUCUAAUGAUCCGAACAAGGAUUUGGAAGAAGUUCAGAGGCUGCUUAAAUCUGCUGCUAGGGAUUGUGUUCCGCAAGAGAGGAAUUCUUUCGUUGCAUUUCAAGCUACUACAGGAGUGGAGGUUUGCACUUUCCGGUUAAUUUUGAAGAAUGCAGCUUCAUUACUUGAUGAUAAGGAUCCUGUAAAGUUGGAAGCUGAAGCUAUGCUAAAUGAUCUUAUAAGUUCUUUUACCUCCCUUGAUGAUGUGACCAAUGAAACUGAUAUGGAAUUUGCUUCUAAGAGACAAAAGGUGGCAGAUGCACUCAUGGACACCAUAUCUUCCCUUAAUAAAUUCGAGCAGGGUAUCAAGGACUGCCUUGAAGUUUGAUUUGUUAUGGCCUUCUUCCAGGACAAAAACAUUUGUGGAUAUUAUGCUUGAAUAUUUUUUCACAUGCUCUUAUCCAAAGGGUUCUUGAAGACAGUGGGAAUAGGAUGCACUCAAAAGUAGAUCCCACCAUUAUGUUGUGCAAUUUCUGUGGUGCUCAAUUUUUUUACUCGUCUUAAUGAGACAAUGUGCUUGUGCUGCAUUGUGCCAGUUGCACUGUCACGUAUUCUUCCAUCUUACAUCUGACUGCAUUUCAGGCAUGGUUAAAGAAAGGUACAACUGUGAAUACCUGAUAUUGUGCUCAUGGAUGUCAUUUUUAGUUCCUCAUUCUCCUAGAUGUCCUGGACUACCCGGUUGGCAAAUGCAAAAUUAUAAGUUUGUAUGCUUUGGUUUAUGUCUCUUAAAAGCUAGAAUGUGCUACAACAGAGCGAAACAGAUUUGGUUGGAAGUUGUAGAUAGCUUCUACUAUUGUCUUCCAGAACUCCAUGCAGUUAUUGAUUAUUAGAUUAACUUACAAACUGAAUUUUUAUAGUUUUAUUUGAUAUUGACCAAGCUUUUUUAUUUUUAUUAUUUAUUUACUCACUGAGCAUCUCUGGCCAAGUUAUCUAAGCUGUAGGUUAUCAUAUUCUGCAUGCAGUUACCUUC